rnacentral:rRNA from 1 species
AGUGAACGCUGGCGGUAGGCCUAACACAUGCAAGUCGAACGGCAGCACAGUAAGAGCUUGCUCUUACGGGUGGCGAGUGGCGGACGGGUGAGGAAUACAUCGGAAUCUACUUUUUCGUGGGGGAUAACGUAGGGAAACUUACGCUAAUACCGCAUACGACCUACGGGUGAAAGCAGGGGAUCUUCGGACCUUGCGCGAUUGAAUGAGCCGAUGUCGGAUUAGCUAGUUGGCGGGGUAAAGGCCCACCAAGGCGACGAUCCGUAGCUGGUCUGAGAGGAUGAUCAGCCACACUGGAACUGAGACACGGUCCAGACUCCUACGGGAGGCAGCAGUGGGGAAUAUUGGACAAAGGGCGCAAGCCUGAUCCAGCCAUACCGCGUGGGUGAAGAAGGCCUUCGGGUUGUAAAGCCCUUUGUUGGGAAAGAAAAGCAGCAGGUUAAUACCCCGCUGUUCUGACGGUACCCAAAGAAUAAGCACCGGCUAACUUCGUGC